UUGAACGCUGGCGGCAGGCCUAACACAUGCAAGUCGAGCGGAUGAAGGGAGCUUGCUCCUGGAUUCAGCGGCGGACGGGUGAGUAAUGCCUAGGAAUCUGCCUGGUAGUGGGGGAUAACGUCCGGAAACGGGCGCUAAUACCGCAUACGUCCUGAGGGAGAAAGUGGGGGAUCUUCGGACCUCACGCUAUCAGAUGAGCCUAGGUAGGAUUAGCUAGUUGGUGGGGUAAAGGCCUACCAAGGCGACGAUCCGUAACUGGUCUGAGAGGAUGAUCAGUCACACUGGAACUGAGACACGGUCCAGACUCCUACGGGAGGCAGCAGUGGGGAAUAUUGGACAAUGGGCGAAAGCCUGAUCCAGCCAUGCCGCGUGUGUGAAGAAGGUCUUCGGAUUGUAAAGCACUUUAAGUUGGGAGGAAGGGCAGUAAGUUAAUACCUUGCUGUUUUGACGUUACCAACAGAAUAAGCACCGGCUAACUUCGUG
rnacentral:rRNA from 1 species